UUGUUGGUGGCAUUAAAUCAGAUGGUGUGUAACAGUACUUUGUAAAAACUGUAACGUAGGUUGUGACUGUAAGGGUUUGUAGUUCUCAUGAGUAUUACUGCUCUUUUUUCCCACAGUUAACAGAAUUUCAACAAAGAAACAGCCCUGCUGUUCCAACACGAGUGAGACGGAGAAAGAAAAGAAACAACAAUAGCCCUGAGACAGGCACUUCUGAUGGUUGCCAGUCACCAUGCCAUUCAGCAGCAGGUGGUCCCAAGGAGGGCCCUGCACCAUGUGCCACCACCAAAGAUCCAGAGAGCGCACACCAACUACAAAUAGCCCUGGACUCGAGCUCCGUCACAACCAGUGAACUGAAUAACACCAUCGACUUAUUGCCCUCGAGCCGCUGUGGAGCAGUCCUUGAGCAGCAGUUACAGCAGUUUCUGCAGGAGCGGGAACUGCUAAAAGCACAGGUGGCAGAGGUGACGGAGUGUCUUAAGAAAGCUCAGCUAGAAAGAGACACAUACGCUCAACAGCUCAAAACAGAGAGGGUGCGGUGGCAGCAGCAAUUGCUGAAAAUGGCAGGAGAAGUGAGAGCUGACCCUUCAGCCCCCACCUUAGAUGGCUCACUGGAUCUUCCUGGGCAUCUGUAAAAUGAGAAUAGUCCAGCCAGGGGUGGUCACGGGACUGGGCUUUGUGGAGCUGGGGGCGGAGAGGGAGAUGGUAGCCUGUCCAGCCACCAGCUCCUCUCUCCAGAGCCCUUUCCCCCUGUGCUUUGGGCAGAUUGAAAUAUUCAAAAUGGA